rnacentral:rRNA from 1 species
CGGCAGGCCUAACACAUGCAAGUCGAGCGCGCCUUCGGGUGAGCGGCGGACGGGUUAGUAACGCGUGGGAACGUGCCCUUCUCUACGGAAUAGCCUCUGGAAACGGAGAGUAAUACCGUAUACGCCCUUUGGGGGAAAGAUUUACCGGAGAAGGAUCGGCCCGCGUUAGAUUAGGUAGUUGGUGGGGUAACGGCCUACCAAGCCUACGAUCUAUAGCUGGUUUUAGAGGAUGAUCAGCAACACUGGGACUGAGACACGGCCCAGACUCCUACGGGAGGCAGCAGUGGGGAAUCUCAGACAAUGGGGGCAACCCUGAUCUAGCCAUGCCGCGUGAGUGAUGAAGGCCUUAGGGUCGUAAAGCUCUUUCGCCUGUGAUGAUAAUGACAGUAUCUGGUAAAGAAACCCCGGCUAACUCCGUGCCAGCAGCCGCGGUAAUACGGAGGGGGUUAGCGUUGUUCGGAAUUACUGGGCGUAAAGCGCACGUAGGCGGACUGGAAAGUUGGGGGUGAAAUCCCGGGGCUCAACCUCGGAACUGCCUCCAAAACUAUCAGUCUAGAGUUCGAGAGAGGUGAGUGGAAUUCCAAGUGUAGAGGUGAAAUUCGUAGAUAUUUGGAGGAACACCAGUGGCGAAGGCGGCUCACUGGCUCGAUACUGACGCUGAGGUGCGAAAGUGUGGGGAGCAAACAGGAUUAGAUACCCUGGUAGUCCACACCGUAAACGAUGAAUGCCAGUCGUCGGCAAGUAUACUUGUCGGUGACACACCUAACGGAUUAAGCAUUCCGCCUGGGGAGUACGGUCGCAAGAUUAAAACUCAAAGGAAUUGACGGGGGCCCGCACAAGCGGUGGAGCAUGUGGUUUAAUUCGAAGC